GGGAGAAUUCCCGAGUGGCCAAAGGGGGCAGACUGUAAAUCUGUUGCUUUUACGCUUCGGUGGUUCGAAUCCACCUUCUCCCACCA
rnacentral:tRNA from 1 species